GUGAAUGUGAAGUCAGGCUCCGGGGGAGGGGAGGGGCAGGGCUCCGGCGGCGGCUGCGGCCCGAGCUGGUCGCUGGUCCCUGGUCCCGAGCCCGCGCGCCCUGGGUCUGGCCGCUGGCUACAGCCGUCUUCCUUGCACCGCUCAGCUCCAUCCUUGCUCGGCUGUCGGGAACCCGCACCUCUUGGCGGAGGAGCUCUGGGGCGGCGUUCCCUUUCGACUUUGCCUGUGCUGCUCCGGCUUGCACCCAGUCCCCCUAGCCUGCAGCCCCGCGCGCGGGUCCUGGUAACCGGCGCCGCGGUCGCCGCAGCUCCUUCCCGCCGGCGAUCGGGGCGGAGGGCUGGGCUGAGGGAGGUGUGAGCGCGGCUUCCCGGUCCAGGGUCGGCGCGCGCCCGCCCUGCCCCCGCCUCGGCCCGGCGCCCUGAGCCGCGGCCCCCUCCCAGCGCAGGGGCCGGCGGCCGCGACAGGGCGGGCGCCGCGCGGAGGCAGGGCGGGCGUAUUCAAUGGAAGUAUGUUACCAGCUGCCGGUGCUGCCCCUGGACAGGCCGGUCCCCCAGCACGUCCUCAGCCGCCGAGGAGCCAUCAGCUUCAGCUCCAGCUCCGCGCUCUUCGGCUGUCCCAAUCCCCGGCAGCUCUCACAGAGGCGUGGAGCUAUUUCUUAUGACAGUUCUGAUCAAACUGCGUUGUAUAUUCGUAUGCUAGGAGAUGUACGCGUAAGGAGCCGAGCAGGAUUUGAAUCAGAAAGAAGAGGUUCCCAUCCUUAUAUUGAUUUUCGUAUUUUCCACUCUCAAUCUGAAAUUGAAGUGUCUGUCUCUGCAAGGAAUAUUAGACGGUUACUAAGUUUCCAGCGGUAUCUCAGAUCCUCACGCUUUUUCCGUGGUACUACUGUUUCCAGUUCUCUAAACAUUUUAGAUGAUGAUUAUAAUGGACAAGCCAAGUGUAUGCUGGAAAAAGUUGGAAAUUGGAAUUUUGAUAUCUUUCUAUUUGAUAGACUAACAAAUGGAAAUAGUCUAGUAAGCUUAACCUUUCAUUUAUUUAGUCUUCAUGGAUUAAUUGAGUACUUUCAUUUAGAUAUGAUGAAACUUCGUAGAUUUUUAGUUAUGAUUCAAGAAGAUUACCAUAGUCAAAAUCCUUACCACAAUGCAGUCCAUGCUGCAGAUGUUACUCAGGCCAUGCACUGUUACUUAAAGGAACCUAAGCUUGCCAAUUCUGUAACUCCUUGGGAUAUCUUGCUGAGCUUAAUUGCAGCUGCCACUCAUGAUCUGGAUCAUCCAGGUGUUAAUCAACCUUUCCUUAUUAAAACUAACCAUUACUUGGCAACUUUAUACAAGAAUACCUCAGUACUGGAAAAUCACCACUGGAGAUCUGCAGUGGGCUUAUUGAGAGAAUCCGGUUUAUUCUCACAUUUGCCAUUAGAAAGCAGGCAACAAAUGGAGACUCAGAUAGGUGCUUUGAUACUAGCCACAGACAUCAGUCGUCAGAACGAGUACCUGUCAUUGUUUAGGUCCCAUUUGGAUAGAGGUGACUUAUGCCUAGAAGACUCCAGACAUAGGCAUUUGGUUUUACAGAUGGCUUUGAAAUGCGCUGAUAUUUGUAACCCUUGUCGGACCUGGGAAUUAAGCAAACAGUGGAGUGAAAAAGUAACAGAGGAAUUUUUCCACCAAGGAGAUAUAGAAAAAAAGUAUCAUUUGAGUGUGAGUCCACUUUGUGAUCGUCAGACAGAAUCUAUUGCCAACAUCCAGAUUGGUUUCAUGACUUACCUAGUGGAGCCAUUAUUUACAGAAUGGGCCAGAUUUUCAGACACAAGACUGUCCCAGACAAUGCUUGGACAUGUGGGACUGAAUAAAGCCAGUUGGAAGGGACUGCAGAGAGAGCAGUCCAGCAGCGAGGAUACGGAUGCUGCAUAUGAGUUGAACUCACAGUUAUUACCUCAGGAAAACCGGUUAUCAUAACCCCUGAACCAGUGGGACAGACUGCCUCCUGGAGGUUUUUAGUAAUGUGAAACGGGGUCUUGAGGCAAAUCUUCUUGAGAAGCCAAAUUAUGAACAGCCGGUUCACUUGGUGAGCAUGGAUUCUGAGCAAGGGAAGCAAGUUGCCUCAUGCAUCCAUCUCCCUAUGGAGAUAUUCCUGCUGAUAUUCAUGGUUGUGGACCAGGGUACCCUCUUCCCCUGGAUGAUGCUAGAGAUUCUCUGCUAGUAGUUACUUCUUCACAUUAGCUUCUGAUUGGCAAUUCCAUUAGAUGUCAUUGCCUUCAGCCUUGUUUCAUGGUUGAGCUUACUUACCUAGGCUCCAUUCUACCUGUGUGUGCUUACUUCUGCUCUGAUCAAUUAUGUUUGUCUUAUAGUUUAAUACUCAAAAGAUCAGCUUACAGUUUCCACAUUCUCAGGGGGACACCUUGGUGUUGCUUCUAUUUUCCUAUCAGUGUAAUAAAUCCAUUGAAAAGUCAUGUUUUGUUAUGUAUAUGUGGGAAUCACCUUUUAUAGCCCUGCUUUUUAAAUGGAACCUAUGUUCCUUGAACUUUGAAUUUUGUAGAAGUUUGACGGUACAAAUAAGAUCACAUUUUUAAAAAAUAAGCAAAUAUGGAACAAUGGAAAAUCCACAUGAAUUUUUAAGAUAAAAUAGAUUUUAAAGAAUUAUUGAGCAUGUAGCAGCCCUUUUGGGCUCUUGGCCCAACACUUCAGUGGUGAGGGAGUCUAUUCUCUAUGGGUUAAGUUCCUUGGAGAGAAAAUCUUGACAAACCCUAGCUUAAGAACAAAAAUUGGUUCCCGAUCAAUAUUUGUACUCACUGUAAAUGUGAUGGUUUGUAAUGAUCCUCUUUGUAUAAACAGCAAAAAUUACAUUUUAUGUCCUUUGCAAACAUGGGAAAUAUCCUUGUACCUGAGGUACAGGUUAGAGGUGCUAGUAACUUCUUCACAAUUCCAAAAAGGGUAUCUUUUUCCACAAUGCUUUCUUGGCUUUUAUUAAGCUUUCUAUUUUCUUAAAACUUUAAAAUUUUCACAUCAAAAGUUUCCAGUGUCUUCAAACAUAUAUAAAUAUUUUAAUGUACAAACUUUGUUUAAAUUCCCUAUCAGUACCUGCUGAUUGAGAAAACACACAAUGACCAAUAUUAACUAAUAUAAAUUCACAUUGUUUUUAAGGAAAUACGCAUACUAGUCCCUACAGCAUCAACAUACAUUUAAAACAUAUAGAAUAGACAUGUGCAAGACAGUUGCAGCCAUUUCCUGCUAAGGUCCUAAAGAUGAACUGUCAUUUUGAAAACCCCAAAGGGUCCAUGGUCUAUAGGUAGGAAGACCACUACUGGGGGUCGAAUUGGCAAAGGGUACAUAAUGGGUCUCUAUCUUCCUGGUUCCUGUGCUUAGCAUAGGGCUGGUGUAAUUUGGACUAUCAGUAAAUAUUUGUUGAACAAAUUAAUGUUGAAUUAAUGUGUUCCCUUUUUACCUAUCAGAUUAUCACUAAGAGAAAUUAUACUGAAACUAGUCUGUUUGUGCUGAAGUCAUGUGGUAAGCAAUAUCUGAGUUCCUGUUGUGUACAGAGCAUGGCACUGAAUGUAAUAAAAGGGGUAUUAAAAUUAAAAACCAUGGUCUCUGUUCUCAAAGUGUUUGGGUGACAAUAUAACGAGUGUGAAGUGUUUAUCAUGUAAUAUGGCAGGUGUCAUUCAAAAUGAGCAAAGUGUUGGCCAAUGGUGAAAAUGACACCAUUUCUAGGAAAUCUUAUUUUUAACUGUUAAUAUCUGAAUCAUUUAGCUCUCACAUUUGAUUCUAAAAUAAUUUUAAAUAUCCAUUAUACUUUUAGUAAAAUUCUUAUAUCAAUUAUAUCUUAAAAUUUCAUACCAACACUUUUAAGUUGUCCUAUAACUGAUCUUAGUCUGGUGGGUUGGCAGAAGAAGAGAAACACCCAGUUUUUAGUAUUCAAUUUCUUGCUAUUACUUAAGACUGAAACAAAGUAAUCAGUCUAUUCUAGCUAUCCACUGAUCCCAAAAAGUCUGUUAGAGAAUCCCAUCUCCCAUUUAUCUUUAAAGCUAUGCACCUGAGAUUAUUUUGAACAUAAAAUAUGUAUUUCUUCAUUUAUUGGGCUACAUCCUCUAAAAAUAAUUAGGAAACAAAUGAUAUCACAAGUCCCCUUGUCUUAGCUGAAUUUUAUGAAAAUUACAUAUAUGUAUAUACACACACAACAUAAAUUUUGAAGGAAAUACCAUAAGGAAGUAUGCUUGUUUUACCUUGCUCAGGUUGCUAUAACAAAAGAACCAUAGACUGGGUGACUUAGAAACAACAGGUGUUUGUUUUUCAUGGCUUUGGAGGCUAGAAGUCUGAAAUCAGGAUGCUAGAAUGGUUGGUUUUUGGUAAAGGCCUUCUUCCUUGCUUGUAUCCUCAGGUGGCCAAGAGAGAGCGAGCUAGCUUUCUCCCUCUUCUGUAAGACCACCAAUUCCAUCAUGAGGUCUUUGCCCUGGGACCUGAUUACUUUGAAAAGGUCCCAUUCCUAAUACCAUCCUAUUAAAGGUUAGGGUUUCAACACAGGAAUGAGGGAGGGUGUCACAUAAGCACUCAUUUAAAAAAAAAUUUUUUUUUUUAGUAAUUGUGCUUUAAAGUUCCUAGAUAUAGAGCUAGGGGUUUGGCUCAGUGGUAGGGCACUUGAUUUACAAGGCCCUGUGAUCAAUCCCCAGCAGCACAUACUAUAAAAAUUACUAGGUGAACUAUUUUAGAAAACAACUUGAAUUUCCCCCUAAGAAUCAUCAAAAGAUAAGGGUUAGGUUUUUCCAUUAUUAUAGGGCACAGAGACUCAGAUUAAACUGGAGGCUCUAAUAAUGUGGGUUUAUGUACAUGAUAAUAGAGAUCACUCCUGAGGCCACACCUUUGGAAGCAGAACUUGAGAUGUGAUCAUUCUGAGAUGGAGCUUCUUGGAUUUGCUGUUUUCUCCCAUACUCUUGACUACUAUUCCUCUUCUGGCUUUCUUUAUUGCAAUUUCUGUUUAAGGCAGCAGUGUAACAUGGUUUUUAAAAAGCAAAGGACUUGGGUUUGAGUCCUUUGGCAAAUUACCCUAUCUACUGAAUGGUUUCCUACCCUGUAAAAUGUCUGUUUAAAAGUAAAAUCAUAUGUUGACACUUACUGAAUCAAUAGCUACUAUGAAUAUUCUUCCUAAGUCAUUUCCUCAAAAUCCUUGCAUAAAUCCCUCACAUGUAUAGCUGUACCUUAUAGCAUCCUUAUUUGAGCUCCUGGUACUACCUACCUUACCUCACUCUCUUAGGUUUCCCAUUCAGAUUCCUGGGGGAGAAUCUAAUGAGAACACCUCAAGGAGGCUGUCCCUGGGCACAGACCAGUCUGCAUUAUCAGAUGAUACCCAAAACAGCUUCUGGUAUCAUCUGCUUUCAUCCUAUGAUAAGAAGCAGCAUGUCUGAUCAAUGAGGAAGGAUGGCCGUUAGGUAACACCGACAGUGGCUCCUUGUGCCUUUGGUAAAGACCUUUAUUUCUCUGGAAAUUAAGGCUUUUCCAGCUGUGAAGAAAGAAGAAUGUCAAUGUGAUAUGCGUUUGGUAUGGAAUGGGAAACACUAUUUGGGUUAUUUUAACAAUUGCUCUCUUGAGAAUGUCUAAAUGACACUCAUGUUCUACGCUAAUCUUACAGGAAUCAUCUCACCUUUUCAAGAGGCUGGAGAAGCUACCCAAAGAGAAAAAUGUGAAAAGUUCCAGCUGUAGGAACUUUAAGUCUUCUAGCCCUUAUGAACUGAACUAAAGACAACAAUCCCAGAGGGAACUCUGCAAGAUUUCUGGGUCCGUGGGUUGGUUAUGCUAUUUUUAUUAUCCUGUCUUCAAGAGACAGCAUUAAGGCCAAUGAAGAGCUAGCCUGCUUACAAGAUUUCCAAGAGAAGUCUAAGAAGAAUCCUAAGAAAUAAAUUCAAGAGAGUUGCUCAGAAGGAUGAACCUGUAAGAUGAAGAAAGAGACCAUAAGAAAGAGGUCCUUGCAAUGAGGGUUCGUGAGCAGUAUUGCAACAGUCUGUUAUGAAAUCGACUGUCAGUCUGGCAAUCCCAGACCUGCUUCUGUUGGGUGAACUCCUUAAAGAGUUUUAUGUGCUACAUUCUAUUUCUGGAGAACUGUUUUUGGAGAAGUUAUCAGAACAAUGUUUUUUCCAAAGUGUUUGUUUCUGGUAACAUUACUUCAUGUCUUCCUCUUCACCUCUGAGACAGAGACUCAGGAAUUUUUAACAUGGCAAGAAGACUAAAGACUGUAGCCCUGCCCCUUCCACCUCAAUCUGUGCAAGUAGGUGCAUACAGUGACACCUAUUACAGGUGCUAGCCCUUAGUCCUAGGAGAAAUCAUUCUACUGGAAACUAUAAAGAUUUCAUAUAAAAUAACAUAAUGGUAAUAAUAACUCAUUUAGCCCUUUAAUAUUAAUAGAAUGUGCCCCAAAUCAUUACUUCAUUUAAUUCUCAAAUUCUUUUGAGCUACUGAGUACCAUUCCCAUUUUUUUAAAAGGGUGUGGCUUGGCCAGGAUCACAUAAGGCUCCAAGUCCAGUGCUUUCUGAUUCAUACUUUCUGUCUAUAAAACGAGGGUCACUAGACUAAAUUUAUAGUAGAUAAAACAUACCAGGUUACUUCCCUGUCUGAGCUGUACCUAUAAAAUGUAAAGUUAGUUUAACUAUUUUUAAGUUCUCUAACUUCAGGUAUUAUGUUAGGUGGGAGCACUGCAACUUGAAUAAAGUGGGUUUGGGAAAAAAAUGAGAAAACAGAUCUCACCAAUCCCAUAGUGGGUUAUGAGUUUGAGAGCCCUGAAAUCUGGGUGCCUCCAGUGACUGUCCUCCACUGUCAAUGCUGAGAUUCUAUUUUAGAAAGCAUUUUGAGCUGCUGUGACCAAAAGAUUUGGAGCUCACAGUUUCAGAGGUCUCAGUCCACAGAUGGCCAACUCCAUUGCUCUGGGCCUGAGAUAAGACAGAUUAUUGUGGUAGAUAGUUGUGGAGGAGAAGGAAAGAAGCUCAGGACAUGGCAAACAGGAAGCAGAGUGGGAGGGGGCGGUGGGGAGAAAUCAAAAAACAAAACAAAACAAAACAAAACUGCUCAUCAGGCACAAAAUAUAAAUCCUAAAGGCAUGCCCCCAGUGCACCUUCUCCUCCAGCCACACCUUAUCUGCCCACAUUUACCACCCAUUUAAUCCAUAUCAGUGGAUUAAUUAGGUUAAGGCUCUCAUAACCCAAUCAUUUCAUCUCUAAACUUUGUUGCUUUUUCUUACAUAUGAGUUUUUGGGAGAUACCUCGUAUCUAAACCAUAACAAAAUUGGGAAGUAAUACAGCUCAUUUUGGGGAAUAUAUUUCCACUUGACAAAUGUAGAAAGGCAAUUAUUGUAGAGAAGCACCAUGUGCAAUAUAAAAUAACCUUAUUGAAAACAAAAAGAAAAAAAUAUAAGUGCUAUUGUCCAAGGGAAAUAAAAGUUUGUUUUAUUUUAAAAUAGUAAAUUCCUUACAUUGGAGUACUAGCCGAAAUUCAAUACUGAUGCAAAUAUAAAUUUCUUAGGAGGCCAAAAUAUGUGUCAGGUGAAUUUCUGAAUAUCUUAAAAGGCAGAAUUCUUAAACAUACCAAAGAAUUAGAAACAAUAUCUAACAACAUGCCACAGUUUAAACUUAAGCCAAAUAACCAAACCAUGUAAAUUACCUCAGAUAAUUUUGUUAAUAUUUAGGAGAACACACAUUUUCAAUAACUUAAAAUGUCUAUCUACUUAUCUCCUAAUUCUCCCAGGAAGUAUAACUUUUCUUCACUAGAUAUAAAAUUUUUAAAAGUUCAAAUAUUUACUUAUGGUAAGAAAUUCUGGCAUUAACUAUAGCUGAAUUUAUCAGAAAUAGAAAAUCAUAAAAGUUUAUUGAACACUUACAAAUGACCACUUAUAGCAAGUCCUUAUAAGCCCUGGAUGAGAAAGGCAUUUCUCCACUUUCUAAUAAUAUCUAAGGAUUACAUUGCAUAAUAUUAAUUCAUCAGAACAGCAUUCUGACCAAUGAUAAAUAAUAUAUAGGAAAGUCAUAGUCCUAUUUAAUGUUUCAUUAUAAAAUUAAUAUUUUGACCAAUAUUAAAAAAAUUUAAACUCCCAUUAUGCUGACAUUUCCAGAAGUAUUAUUUAUUAACUUAGCAAUGAGUCAUUUUUAUGAUGCCAUUUAUUAAACUGAAAUAAAGAAAGAUGGCAUAUCUAGUUUGUAUUUAAGUGAUUUAAUUCAAUAAUUUAAUCUGUCACCACUUGGAAAGUACAUUUGUUUCCCCAGUACGUGGAUGGCAAUGAGGUACAAGCAGCUGCCCUGGUUCUCAACUUCCCUCUAAUGGAAAGUAUAUGGAAUUGCACCAGUGAACAUCAACUGGUUCCUAUGCAAAGCUCAGCUCCAAAAAUGUGAGAGAGAAUCUAAGAUAUAAGUUCUGUUUGAGGCAAGAAGUUUCCAAUCUCAAAUAUUUUAUUCCAACAUCUUAAAUUACACCAGCUAAUCCAUCACUAAGAGUAAAUGCUCAUUGAAAACAUAUGAAGAUAACAAUACCCUCAUUGUCACUGAUAAAUUUUUAAACUGUUUUAUAUCCAAACAUAUGUAUAUAAAACAUUUGUACAGAUAAAUUAGUGUUAAGAAUUUUAAAUGCACAGUAAAAUCCACAAAUGUCCUUUCUGUGUUCUGAAAUCUUAGGAAUGUUUUCAAGAUUGGAAGCCUCCAUCUCCUGGCUAUACUUGAAAAACAUGUCAGAAUUCAGUAUGUUAUGGGAAGCUCCAGAACUGACCAUCUCAUAAAGCAAAACAAAGUUAUGGUGCUUCCAUUAUUGCUUAAUCCUCUAGGUUAAAAAGGAGACCACUGAAUACUAAAGUCAGGUAUUUACUAAAUAGUGUCAAUUUCUACUAGCCAAAUUCAGCCCUCACAAACCAGCUGAAGCAGGAAAUUUUUCUCAGCUCAUUGUCCAUUAGGAAUUUGAAACAUUUUCAAUUAAAGCCUUCAUUUUUCCUGUAGACUUCAACAUAUGUGGCCCAAACUGGAAAAGAAACAAAAAGAAUAAAAGUAGACAUCAACUCUUAUAACAGUAAUAAUAUGCCUCACCCCCAUCAUGGAUCAUAGGGCUGGGUAUGUUCUGCAUGAAAAACCAAGCAGAUACUAAUAAAGUUAAAGCCUUUAUGAAUUAACAGGUUGUUAUAAACACAGGAUACAGUAACAGGAUGAAAGACAAAGAGUUAGCCAGAUUUAUUUCUAGGAAGGAAAAAAAUCAGCAACACCCUAGUUCAGUGAAAUUUUACUUCUGAAUAAAAUAGGAAGCACAAAUUUUCCCUUGCAAUGUCUAAGGAGUUUUAAGGAUACCUUAAUUUGACAUCUGCCUCUUUGGAAUGAGUACAUGAAAAUUACAAAUAAAGGGAAUGUAGAAAUUAACAUUGGAAUGAAACCUGCUCAAUCUCCUCAAUCUCCACCUAUGAUACAACACACAACUUCAAGGUCCACCUCAGAUCUCACCCUAUUCAGAAGACUGACAGGAUCCACUAAGAGAAAUGAUCUGGCUUUGAAGUUUCUGUCUCACAUGUACAAUGCCCUGACAUAAAAAUUUUAUUAUAAUGAAUUUCACUUCAUUAUGCUUAAACAUAUAACCCAACAUGGGAAGUUUAACAUUAGAGAUGGGUAAGCAGUGAGAUGCAGGAUUAACUUUUGCUUUAUUCUUUAUGCUCUUCUACAGGUUUUAUAUUUACAAAUAAACAACUAUAAUUUUUAUAGUUAAAAAAAAUUAAAAAUAUAAAUGCUAAACAAAGAUGUCAUCCUUUUCCCAACUAGUUACAAUCUAUUUGUAGAUAAGGACAGACUCCUGUGUUAAAUUCUACUGAAUCUUGCAGAGGUCUCAGCUGAAUGAUUUGCAAAGGCAGCGGCGUGGGCUCAGUCAUGGUGUGAAUUACCAUGUAAUAAGAAAGAAUAUAGGCUAAUACUCACCAAUGCUGUCUCUGAGGUGGUCUCUGAUUCAGACUUUGGAGAUCCUUUUUCAACUUCACCUUGGCUAUUGCUUCGAUACCGAUAAGCAAAUUUCUUUUUCAAAGCUUCUGCUAUGAGGGCAGCAGGGUCAGUAGCAUCUACUGGCUUGGGCUUUACAUCUUGCUCUGACCUUAGAGAAGUGAAGAGAAACCAAGGGGACAGGCUGAUACACUGGCUGAUACACUCAGGGAAGUACUGUGUCAGCCCUUGCCUGACUGAUAGUGCUUUUCCAGCAUCAUAGUUUCUCCAUAAUGACACUGACAAACUGUGUUAGCAGUGCAAUGGAAACCUAGAUUAAGGCUCAACAAAAGUAUGUAAGAGUCCCAUAAAGAGCCACUCAGUACAUCUUCACAACACCAUGUUCUUCAGAGAAACAGCUUCCAUCUUCCAUGUGUAUUCAGUGACCAACUGAGUAGGUACACAACACACCUUUUCUGAAUGAAUGACUACCUAGUCACAAUAGAGACAUUAUACAAAAGGGUGAUACUUAAAUGAAAUGGGAAAAUUAAAAAAUCACCUAGAAAUAUUAGUUUAUUUGUUACUGGUAUAGGAGUUGCUUCUGGGACUCUUUUUUUUUUUUU